rnacentral:rRNA from 1 species
UACGAAGGGGGCUAGCGUUGUUCGGAUUUACUGGGCGUAAAGCGCACGUAGGCGGAUUGUUAAGUCAGGGGUGAAAUCCUGGAGCUCAACUCCAGAACUGCCUUUGAUACUGGCAAUCUUGAGUCCGGAAGAGGUGAGUGGAACUCCUAGUGUAGAGGUGGAAUUCGUAGAUAUUAGGAAGAACACCAGUGGCGAAGGCGGCUCACUGGCCCAUUACUGACGCUGAGGCACGAAAGCGUGGGGAGCGAACGGG